AGUUUGGACUCUCUUGGGACUUGCUUAUUGUUGCAGCAGUUAGAUUGUAUUCUGGUGGUUGUUUGUGUGUUGAUGUAGUUGUGGGAGAUCAGGGUUUGAUCUGAGUGCAGACCGCUUGGGUGUAUUCUUCAGGGUUGGUCUGCAUGUGGCUGUGGGCCAGUGGAGUGAGGGAACAUCUCUACCCGUAUCACGCUGAACAUGCCCAAUCUCAUCUGAUCUCAGACAGUCUUUGAAUUGUAGCACUGCCUUAUAUUUGGAUUUAUUUUGCUGUUGAAUGUGAAUAUGGGAUGGAAGUCCAUGUCUCCAGGCUUCUAUGCUGCUGCUCUAAGGACAGGCAGGCCUGAUUAGUAUGUGCUGCUGUUUGGCUACAGAGUUCUUUGGAGUCUGGAGAGAUUUGGCCUUUAAAAAUCAAACUGUCAGACCCUGUCUCAAGGAAAAAAAAAAAAACAGGAUGUGAGCGCUCUCCCUCUCCCUCUCCCUCUCCCUCUCCGUCUCCCUCUCCCUCUCCCUCUCCGUCUCCCUCUCCCUCUCCCUCUCCGUCUCCCUCUCCCUCUCCCCACGGUCUCCCUCUCAUGUGGAGCCGAAGCUGGACUGUACUGCUGCCAUCUCGGCUCACUGCAACCUCCCUGCCUGAUUCUCCUGCCUCAGCCUGCCGAGUGCCUGCGAUUGCAGGCACGCACCACCACGCCUGACUGGUUUUGGUGGAGACGGGGUUUCGCUGUGUUGGCCGGGCCGGUCUCCAGCCCCUAACCGCGAGUGAUCCGCCAGCCUUGGCCUCCCGAGGUGCCGGGAUUGCAGACGGAGUCUCGUUCACUCAGUGCUCAAUGGUGCCCAGGCUGGAGUGCAGUGGCGUGAUCUCGGCUCACUACAACCUACACCUCCCAGCAACCUGCCUUGGCCUCCCAAAGUGCCGAGAUUGCAGCCUCUGCCCGGCCGCCACCCCGUCUGGGAAGUGAGGAGUGUCUCCGCCUGGCCACCCAUCGUCUGGGAUGUGAGGAGCCCCUCUGCCUGGCUGCCCAGUCUGGAAAGUGAGGAGCGUCUCCGCCCGGCCGCCAUCCCAUCUAGGAAGUGAGGAGCGCCUCUUCCCAGCCGCCAUCACAUCUAGGAAGUGAGGAGCGUCUCUGCCCGGCCGCCCAUCGUCUGAGAUGUGGGGAGCGCCUCUGCCCCGCCGCCCCAUCUGGGAUGUGAGGAGCGCCUCUGCCCGGCCGAGACCCCGUCUGGGAGGUGAGGAGCGUCUCUGCCCGGCCGCCCCGUCUGAGAAGUGAGGAGACCCUCUGCCUGGCAACCACCCCGUCUGAGAAGUGAGGAGCCCCUCCGCCCGGCAGCCGCCCCGUCUGAGAAGUGAGGAGCCUCUCCGCCCGGCAGCCACCCCAUCUGGGAAGUCAGUUACCAAAAGGCAAAGAAAAACCUCCUGCAGUGUGAUUGCUUCUCCUAUCAGAGUCCCAUCUCGAAAACCUGAAAAUCAAACCUGAUAAAUGAUGUAGACAUAUCAAGAAAAGCCAAGAGGACAGAAUCAAGCUAUACUGGAGGAAAACGUUGCUUCUCUAGAAUUUUAAAAUAAAUAUUUCAGCAUCAGACCAUGACAGCAGUUAAGGCAAGAGGGAAAAAAAAGAUACAAGAACUGACAAAGUUGAAGGAGAUAGUUUCAUUUCAGGUUCCUUCAAGGGGAGACAAGCUGACAGCAACAAAACACAAGAAAGCUGCACUUUGGAGAUAUAGAUCUGAGAAGUAUUCAAAAAGUAACAGAUUAUAGAGUCAAAAUCAAAACCUCUCAUCCAAUCAAUAUUUUAAGAAAACCUUGUUCUAACCCAGGGGACUAAUCUAUAUCUCUCUCCCCUAGUUACUGGAUCCUUUCUACCCUGUUUCAUAAACAACCUAAGUCUAUAAUUUGAAUUAACCUUUAGAUAACUUCUGAGUUAAACAAAAUUAUUUCUUUAAUCAAUAAGAACACAUCUUCUUUGGCACAUUGUACAUGGAAUCAUACAAUUUGCUGGAAUUCUUAUUCUUAGUAAUCCUAAAUUUUAAUGGAAACCUAGGAAGCAAGAAAUCCUGGGCUGUCUAUCAGAUAUUAACAUUUUAUAGAUGAGAAACAUGAAUGUUCUCAGGCCCAGAAAACUCAAGUUGUUUUGGGACCUCAAGAAAAGAGGAAUUCACCCAAUUCAUACAGGUAUCUGCAAGCACAGAUCAAUUAUUGGUUGUGCUCGAGAGGCCUUUAAAAAUCAAAUCUGAGAUUCCUUAUGAAAAGUUCCAGCAAAGCCAAUUUAAAAAAGCCUAUAUGAACAAUAAUUCUUGCUUCAGUUUAUGCAAAUAAUCAGGCAAACUAUAAUAAGAUUAAAACAGAUUUUGCAAAUAAAUUGGUCCUACUGUGAUUUGCCUUUCAUGGAAAUGGGGAGCUGGAGAGAGAAACAUUAUGUUUUGGAAGAAAACUGCAGUACACCUGUUAUUAGAUUAAUCUUUGACCUAUGGCAACCUGGUCAUCCAUGGUAUGGAGAUACAUCUGUGCUGUGCUGCAUUCAGUUAUUAAAAGUAUAAGUUACCAGUGGAAUUUAGAUAUGGAUUCAUCACCUCAGAAGUUGGUUCACUGGAUGCAUAAGGAAAUAAAAACUAAUUUUUAAAAAAGCAAAA